GUGGUUCUACUGGUGUUACUGGUUCUGCUGGUGAGACGAUGUGUUCACAGGAAACCUGAAGAAAAAGAAAAUGCUUUAGAAAAUGAAGUCAGAGAUGACAUCACAUACAGUGACAUCCAAAUGUCACACUGUCCGCAGCAGCCAAUCAAACAAAGCAGAGAGAGUGAUCCAGCUGCAGUCUACUCAGCAGUGAAAACAGGAGAUGUCAGUUAUGGUGAAAUUAUCAUCAAAGACAAGAAAAAGCGAUCAAGGAUGAGAGACUUUAAACCAGAGCCAGACAUCUUCUACUCCUCACUAAAGUACGACUGACAACCACUGACAUCCAGCUACUGGUCUCUAACUGGUCCCCCCAGCACCACAGACCAGACAAUAUGCACAUGUUAAAAAGAUUUGUAUGUAUUUUGCAUCAUCUUUUAUUUUUUAACUUGAGUUUUCAAAGUGUAUUUUUACUGUACAAUCAGCAGUGCGAUAAAAACAAUGUUUAUUUUUUAUGUCCUCAGUAAGCUCACUGUUAUUUAUAUUGUAUUCCUGUUUGGCAACAAGACCAGAGUAUAGCAAAGUAGCAAUUUAGUUCCUCUGCAAGAUUAAUA